AUUAUUGAUUAUAUAAACUUAUUCUCAUUAAAUAAAAUCUGCCAAUAAUCGCACCCAUAAACUAAAUAAUAUCAACACAUGAACCAAUACUCUCCCACUCCACUCAUUCCCUUCCCCCGCUUGAAGCCAAUUCUUCUGAUCACUGCAAGUAGUAGGCCGCGACGGAGAGCAACGAAGCGCCGAUGAGAGAGCCGAUUGCCGGAAGGCCGGCGGUGGCGCCGCUGGUUGGUCCAGGUGCUGGAGCCGCUGCCUCAUCAUGAGCAACGACGGCGCUGACGGUUGCGGCAGCGAAGAGAAUGGCGCAGGUGGAAACUCGAGCGAUUUUCGGUAGAUGGUUAGUUCCUCUAUCCUUUGAUCUUGAAUUGCAGAGCUAUAAUUAGAAAAACCUUCCUGAUUCACAGGGAAACCAGAAGAGGCCGAUUCGUGGAGGGAAAAUUAGGGAAUUUUUGGAAAUUGGGUUUGAAAUUAAAAAUUUUAUUCUAAAAUUCACAAGCUCUAAUUUAUAUAUUAUUUAUUUGUUGCAACAUUCAUUUUAUAUUUUUAUGAUUUUUUAGAUAAUUUAAGGCACUCUAAAUUUAGGAUCUAUUAUUGUAUUUUCUAAUUGAUAAGGGACUGUAUUUAAUUACAAGAUGUUACAAUUAUAAAUUAGUUUGUGUUAA